rnacentral:rRNA from 1 species
GUAACAAGGUCUCCGUAGGUGAACCUGCGGAGGGAUCAUUACACAAAUAUGAAGGCGGGCUGGAACCUCUCGGGGUUACAGCCUUGCUGAAUUAUUCACCCUUGUCUUUUGCGUACUUCUUGUUUCCUUGGUGGGUUCGCCCACCACUAGGACAAACAUAAACCUUUUGUAAUUGCAAUCAGCGUCAGUAACAAAUUAAUAAUUACAACUUUCAACAACGGAUCUCUUGGUUCUGGCAUCGAUGAAGAACGCAGCGAAAUGCGAUAAGUAGUGUGAAUUGCAGAAUUCAGUGAAUCAUCGAAUCUUUGAACGCACAUUGCGCCCUUUGGUAUUCCAAAGGGCAUGCCUGUUCGAGCGUCAUUUGUACCCUCAAGCUUUGCUUGGUGUUGGGCGUCUUGUCUCUAGCUUUGCUGGAGACUCGCCUUAAAGUAAUUGGCAGCCGGCCUACUGGUUUCGGAGCGCAGCACAAGUCGCACUCUCUAUCAGCAAAGGUCUAGCAUCCAUUAAGCCUUUUUUUCAACUUUUGACCCUCCGGAU